rnacentral:rRNA from 1 species
UGGGAAACUGGGUCUAAUACCGGAUAGGACCAUCGUUUAGUGUCGGUGGUGGAAAGUUUUUUCGGUGUGGGAUGAGCUCGCGGCCUAUCAGCUUGUUGGUGGGGUAAUGGCCUACCAAGGCGUCGACGGGUAGCCGGCCUGAGAGGGUGUACGGCCACAUUGGGACUGAGAUACGGCCCAG